rnacentral:rRNA from 1 species
UUGGAGGGCAAGUCUGGUGCCAGCAGCCGCGGUAAUUCCAGCUCCAAUAGCGUAUAUUAAAGUUGUUGCAGUUAAAAAGCUCGUAGUUGAAUUUCGGGGUUAGUAGGUUGGUCAUGCCUCUGGUAUGUACUGGUCUCACUGAUUCCUCCUUCCUGAUGAACCGUAAUGCCAUUAAUUUGGUGUUGCGGGGAAUUUGGACUGUUACUUUGAAAAAAUUAGAGUGUUUAAAGCAAGCUAACGCUUGAAUACAUUAGCAUGGAAUAAUGAAAUAGGACGUUCGAUCCUAUUUUGUUGGUUUCUAGGAUUGACGUAAUGAUUAAUAGGGAUAGUUGGGGGCAUUAGUAUUCAAUUGUCAGAGGUGAAAUCCUUGGAUUUAUUGAAGACUAACUACUGCGAAAGCAUUUGCCAAGGAUGUUUUCAUUAAUCAAGAACGAAAGUUAGGGGAUCGAAGACGAUCAGAUACCGUCGUAGUCUUAACCAUAAACUAUGCCGACUAGGGAUCGGAUGAUGUUAAUUUUUUAAUGACUCAUUCGGCGCCUUACGGGAAACCAAAGUGUUUGGGUUC